AGGCUGCUCUGGAACCCAUGGUCAUCCUCCUGCCUCAGCCUCCCACGUGCUGGGAUUAUAGGCGUGCGCCACCAUAGCAGUGCUGUCCAUCAUGCUGACUGACCAGGCACAGUUUCCCAGGGGCUACCGUGGCUGAGCAGGUGCUCAGACACUACCUGAGUCAUAUCCUGGUAUCUCCGCUUAUUGGAUAAGUUGCCUCAGUUUCUGCAUCAGCGAAGGGUGUGAUGCCAGGCCCAGCCCCACCGAAUGACAUGAUACUAGAAGAAAACCAACUCCAUACAACAGUCCAGGCUCAAUCAAAAGCAGCUGCUGUUAUGAGAGGGAAAACCGAGGCUCAGGGAAAGCGCUCAGGGCUCUGUGGCUGGUGGUGGGGGUCCUAAGGCUCCCUCUGUCCAUCUCAGGCAGGGGAAACCCAGAGUGAGCUCAUCCUGGGGCUCCUGCUCCAUUUCCAGGCAUUCAUUCAGGCUGUGGCUGGCCUUCCGGCUCUGGAGGGCAAUGGCCGCUCAGGAAUCUAAGAUCAGUCCUCUGCCUUCCUGCUAGCGCUUGCCCUCCUCCCCCCACUGUGUCCCUCUCCCAGCCACUACUUCCCAUGGCCAAAGGAAGCCCUGGGAAUCCUUUUCAGAGAUGCUAGGCUACCUUCUCUGGAAUCCCUGGCCCAGAAGUUGCUCGGGCAAGACAAGGACGGAGCCACCUGGACGGGCCCCAAUCCAGCGAGUGCCUACAGGGCACCCACAGAAAGGAGCACACAGAGCAGCCUGGGCAGGUGUUCGCCUCCUGGGCCUUGCAGGUGGCAAAGCCCUGGGCAGCCCAGGACUCGCACCUCCACACUGGCAGCAAGCAACCCUCCGGCUUCUUCCUCUUUUAGGCUCCUCCUCUGCCAGCUGCUUCCUCCUUUUCCUCUGAUGUGGACACCACUUCCUGGAGAGGCCCUGGCACGCAGACCUCACUGUCCCUCUGCCUGGGCACAGCAGGUACUGCCAUCAAUGUCCCUUCCACACAUCUGUGGAUAUAGCAGCCUUGAGGCCCCAGAAUCCUCCAGGCCUUAUGGACACCUUCUCCCCAAGAAGACUUAGAGGAUCUCACCUUAGGCUUUCACUCAAACCGGCCAGGCACUCUCUUCUGGUGCCAAGGCAAAGACCCCGCCUAGAUGCCCCCUUAUUCUGGUGACCCCCCCCAGCCUAAGAAACACUAGUAGGGUGAGGGUGGGACUAGGUUUAGUAAAAACAAGAGCUCCAGGCUAGAGGGAUGGGUGGAGCUGAGCAGAGGAAGCCCCACCCUGCACCUGCAGCUCACUCAGGGCUUCAGGUACCAAGGACAUCUUUAAAGAGCCCAAUCCUUUGCCUUCCCUUUUUUAAAACCAGGAAUCAAACCCAGGACCUCAUGCCUACCAGGCAGGCGCUGUGCCACUGAACUAUGUCGCCAGCCCACCUUUUGGAGCACUCUUAGGCAAGUCAUUACCUGUGGCCUGCUCACAACCUGUUGAUCCCUUCCCCUCUCCUCGGUGAACCCCCAGGUUGGGACUGUCCCAAGGAGCAGGAUGAUGAGAACACUACCUGGCCUGCGUCCUAACCCACAGCCCAGGUCCUGCCUCCACCACAGCAGAGGGCAGCUGAAGAGGAAGUGCUCGGCCGGGGUGGGGUCAGGAGGCCCUCCGCCCUCAGCAGAGCCCACACGGACAGGGAUGCCUGCAUCCUGCUUCUGCCAGGUAAGCACGGGGCUUUUAGAAAGAGUCUGGGAGAGACACACCAGGAGUGAGAUCAUGGGCACAGUGCAUGGGACCAGGCUGCGCAACCGUGGUCCCAAGCACCAGCACCCCCAGCCACAGUGCGGGAGGCCGAGGGACCUCCCUGGGAUGGCAUCACACCCCACCCCAGCACUAUCUACCUGUUGCCACUUAGGGGGCAAAUAAAUGCUACCCUGCUUCUCAGGUCUGCGCCAACUCAACGGGACAGAGGCCCAGGGAGGUCCCUGGCCAUUUCCAGUUCCCACUGGCACCCCAGACUCCAAUACAAAUAUAAUGGGUGGCUUCAGGGUCCCUGGCACAGCAGCCUUUGCCCCUCAAUCGGCCUGGCUUCCAUGCCAGCCACCAUGGCAGCUUUUCCUUCUGUCCCCCACCCCCAGUGGCUCUGUUCAGAGUUCCACUCUGACCUGACAGGGCUGUCCCCAACUGAGCUCCCUGAUUCACCCGUGUCUCAGCUCAGGGGCACUUCCCCGAGGACCUAGUGCCUGGCCUCCCUCCUCCCUCCCUCGAGGUACAACUUCUCACGUCCAUGGUGCCAGCAUGGGGGGGGAUGGGUGGGUGCUGAGCCUUGCGGGGCUGGGAAGGCACAAGCAGAUGCAGACUGGGCUCAGACCCCCCCAGCGUGGGAGCUGGGUCCCAAGGCUGCGCAGACAAAGCCUCGCCUAGUCUGGGGGAGGGGUGGGAAAAGACUCCAAGGCCCAUGAUGCCCCACCCCCCAUUCAAGUGCUAAUGAGCUCCAGCCGGGAAUAGACGGCUGCGGGAGAAAAUGUCAGCGCUGGAGGCCCACUUGGGUACCAGCCCUCCAGGCACCACGGGCGCUGACACACCUCCAAACCUAGACCCUCAGAGCGGUGCUGGGGGAGUCCCUCACUCUACUUGGUACCGACUCUGCACACCUGGGUCUCCCCACUUGCUGUGAGUGGCCACCCAAGGGCGAGGCAGAUGAUUCCCUGGGACUCCCCUGGGACACCCACACUGGGUAGGAUGCUCCACUCUGCAGGACCCAGCAGCCAGCCCCUCACUUUCUCCCCUCCGGGGUGUGGUGCAUGGUCCCACCACACUCACGGCUGCAGAAAGGCACCCCGGUCCCCAGGCUGUGCGUGGAGGGCAGCACCCUGCCAGAGCUUCACCUGAAGCCGUUUUCCCAGCUGGCAUAGCAAGUGAAGCCAGGAUUCCAACUUCGGUCUCUGUGACCUUAAGGUGAGCCCCUUCCCCGAGGCCAGAAAUACUCAGUAAGACCUUUAGAAUCCAGGCCAGUUCAGCUGUCUCAAUGCCCUGGCUGGGGCGGCACCUCUGUCCACAGUGGUGACAAUUUUCAAGGCCACCGGAGGAUCCCUCUUCAGGAAGCCAGCUUUACAGAUGUCCUAGAAUCUGCCUACCCCUCAACCAGCCAGGAUCCCAGGCUAGCCCUCCUACCCAUCUGCCGCUAGACCAGGCAGGCGCAAGCGGCAGCCCAGGAGUCUAUCAGCCCUCUCCCCAGGAACUGUGCUGCGGUCACGGAUGUGUUCCAUGGCUUCACCGUCCACACACAUACCUAACAUGCACCUUACGGCAGGCCAGCUCCUCGCCAGAGACACGCAGACAGGACAGGGUCACACGAUUCCCUUGUCAUUUGGUAAACUUACUUGAGCCCUUGCUUAGCCCAGCAGUGUGCCGGCAGGCCGGGAGCGCCAGGGGCAUGCUCAGGUCUCAGCCCCACAGCUGCUCUGGAGCUCUGUUCAGACAGCAGCCCCAGGGGAAUUCAAAACAGCUGGAGUUGGGGGGAUGAAUACAAAGCCACCUUCGCUCACCAACAGUUGAGUCCCUACUGUGUGCUGUGCCUUGGUACAGGCUGCAGGAUGGGCAGCAAGAGUUCUGCAAGGAGUGGGUAGAGGCUGCCCACAAGCCUCUGAGAGCCAGGAAGAAAGAGCCCAAAGAACAUUUUUUUCAAGGGCCCACCCUCUCCAUCCUGGUCAUUCACCUACAAGGAGACCUGGCCACCUGCCAACAGUACGCCAGCUCUGAUCUCUGCCUCCCCAUCUCCCAAACCAAGUUCUGUGGGUGCAUCCUUCAUUCAUUACACGAGAAGCACCCAAGAGGUGCCAGGCUGCCUGCUAGGCACAGGAAUGAAAGGGACACAGCCUUGCCCUGAAGGGAGCGCAGCAAGCCAGUACCAUGCUCUGACGAAGCAAGCAGUGGUGCCCAGAGCCAUAGGUGCUUCCCUGGACGCUGCGGAGGUCCAGGAGGGAACCUGGGGGAAGCUUCCAAGAGCCAGCGUUACAGAUCAGUCAACCAGGUAGGUAGGGAACAGAAAGACGAAGUGCCGGGAAAAGGCAGAACUGCUGUAAUACACUCUGAAGUCUCCCUGGAGCCACGUCCCUCCCUUCUCUGUGAGGCUGUCCACCAAGACCCCAACUUCCGCCUGCACCUGGCUGGUCAGAUGGGCUAAACUGGCAGGGCAGGGAUGGCGGGAACCCUGGGAUGGGGCUGGCAUCAGCUCCUCUGCUCCCCUCACUGAGCUGCCAGGAAAAGCUCCCUUCCCCGUGCGUAUCACAUCUGCCUUUGCCCCGGUGACAGUGACUGUGCCUGCUAGCUGGCAAGGAUACAAAGAAGGGGCGGGAGUCAGGGUGCGGGCAGGGCAGCAGGCGUGGUUCUGGCUGAGGGAAGGUUGGCACUUGCCCAGCCUGAGUCCCGUUGCCUAGACAGUUUCCCGCUACGUGGGACAGGCGCCCAGAACUCAACCUGCCACAGCUGGACUCCCACCACCGCCGCACUCCUGGACAGCAAAUAAAAAACAAAAGCAGUCGAUGGCCGCGUCCGCACUCUGCCUAGGCUGCUUCCCGCGGAUGGAUGCCCUUCCUCGUCGGCCCAGGGCCCCUCCCCCUUCCCGGGCCUGCUGAAAAGCACCGUCCUGGAGGCGGCCACGCUGGACUCCAGCCUGGGCCCGGGCGACCCGGACGACAGGGAGAGAGAAGGCCCCACUGGGUUUGUGGAAACAAAAGUCACUAUGA